rnacentral:rRNA from 1 species
GAACGAACGCUGGCGGCGCGUUUAAGCAUGCAAGUCGAGCGGUAGUAGCAAUACGAGAGCGGCGGACGGGUGAGUAACACGUGGGUAAUCUGCCCUUCGGUCGGGAAUAGCCUGUGGAAACACAGGAUAAUACCGGAUGCGAUGGUCUUCACACAAGUGGAGGUCAGGAAAGGAGCCAAGGCUCCGCCGGAGGAUGAGCCCGCGUCCCAUUAGCUAGAUGGUGAGGUAAAGGCCCACCAUGGCGAUGAUGGGUAGCCGGCCUGAGAGGGUGAACGGCCACAUUGGAACUGAGACACGGUUCAGACUCCUACGGGAGGCAGCAGCUAAGAAUCUUCCACAAUGGACGAAAGUUUGAUGGAGCGACGCCGCGUGGGCGAUGAAAGGCCGUGAGGUUGUAAAGCCCUUUUCUUGAGGGGGAAUAAUGCGGGCAGGGAAUGGCCUGCAGAUGACGUGAAUCAAGGAAUAAGCCCCGGCUAACUACGUGCCAGCAGCUGC